UACGGAGGAUGCAAGCGUUAUCCGGAUUUAUUGGGUUUAAAGGGUGCGUAGGCGGAGAGUUAAGUCAGCGGUGAAAGUCCCUCGCUCAACGAGGGGAGUGCCGUUGAUACUGGCCCUCUUGAAUGCUCCUGCCGUGGGAGGAAUGUGUGGUGUAGCGGUGAAAUGCAUAGAUAUCACACAGAACACCGAUUGCGAAGGCAUCUCACGAAGGGGUGAUUGACGCUGAGGCACGAAAGCGUGGGGAU
rnacentral:rRNA from 1 species